GAUGAACGCUGGCGGCGUGCCUAAUACAUGCGAGUCGAGCGAACAGACGAGGAGCUUGCUCCUCUGACGUUAGCGGCGGACGGGUGAGUAACACGUGGAUAACCUACCUAUAAGACUGGGAUAACUUCGGGAAACCGGAGCUAAUACCGGAUAACAUGUUGAACCGCAUGGUUCAACAGUGAAAGACGGUUUUGCUGUCACUUAUAGAUGGAUCCGCGUCGCAUUAGCUAGUUGGUAAGGUAACGGCUUACCAAGGCAACGAUGCGUAGCCGACCUGAGAGGGUGAUCGGCCACACUGGAACUGAGACACGGUCCAGACUCCUACGGGAGGCAGCAGUAGGGAAUCUUCCGCAAUGGGCGAAAGCCUGACGGAGCAACGCCGCGUAAGUGAAGAAGGUCUUCGGAUCGUAAAACUCUGUUAUUAGGGAAGAACAAAUGUGUAAGUAACUAUGCACGUCUUGACGGUACCUAAUCAGAAAGCCACGGCUAACUACGUG
rnacentral:rRNA from 1 species